GGAGCUGAGUGUGACAGUGGGCUGUUGGGAGGAGAAGUUCCAUGCAGAUUACAAAGGGUUCAGAAAGGACAGGGGAAUUGAAAGGCAGCUGUAAUUAGAAAGCAUAGGCAUUCAAAGCUGCCUGGAGGUCAGAGGGGCUGGGCUGGCAGGCUGGGGAGAUCGGGCAGGAAAUGGGCACGGAAGCCCUGCAGUUCAGGGCUGACAUAAUUGGACAGAGAGCGGCAGCCAGUUACCAUGGUAACAGCCAAUCCGAGUGGCCGCGUAUGUGGCAAGGAGUCAAGCUAGGGGACAAUGGACUUCCUGCAGGAAGGCAAGACUUGAAGCAGGGGACCCAUGAGGAAACCACUGCGCUGGCCCAGGUGAGAGCUGAAGGGCCCCUGCCUGUGCUGGUAUGGAUGGAGACGGAGGAUUUGCAGAAGAAGGUUCUUGCCAGAUGCCAGUACCUUGAUAUCGGAUUUCCCAGCCUCCAAGAAAAUUGAAAAUGAUGUGUGACCUACAUUUGUGGCUUGCAUUAUAUUUCUUUUGGGCAGAGCUGUUCUACAGUCAGACGUUAAC
rnacentral:lncRNA from 1 species